UCAACGUAUAGGCCGCCGAAAAUACUGGGCAGCUAGGGAGUGGGAGAGGUACACGGUACUCAAUAGGAAGGGGUAAAAUCCUUUGAUCUAUUGAUGACCACCUGUGGCGAAGGCGGUGUACCAGAACACGUUCGACGGUGAGGGAUGAAAGCUGGGGGAGCAAACCGGAUUAGAUACCCGGGUAGUCCCAGCUGUAAACGAUGCAGACUCGGUGAUGCAUUGGCUUGUGGCCAAUGCAGUGCCGCAGGGAAGCCGUUAAGUCUGCCGCCUGGGAAGUACGUACGCAAGUAUGAAACUUAAAGGAAUUGGCGGGGGAGCACCACAAGGGGUGAAGCCUGCGGUUCAAUUGGAGUCAACGCCAGAAAUCUUACCUGGGGCGACAGCAGAAUGAAGGUCAAGCUGAAGACUUUACCAGACAAGCUGAGAGGUGGUGCAUGGCCGUCGCCAGCUCGUGCCGUGAGAUGUCCUGUUAAGUCAGGUAACGAGCGAGACCCCUGCGUCUAGUUGCUACCAUUACUCUCUGGAGUAGUGGAGCGAAUUAGACGGACCGCCACAGUUAAUGUGGAGGAAGGAAGGGGCCACGGCAGGUCAGUAUGCCCCGAAACCCUAGGGCUACACGCGGGCUGCAAUGGUAUUGACAAUGUGUUCCGAAUCCGAAAGGAGGAGGCAAUCAUCAAACGAUACCUCAGUUAUGACUGAGGGCUGUAACUCGCCCUCACGAAUAUGGAAUCCCUAGUAACUGCGCGUCACUACCGCGCGGUGAAUACGUCCCUGCUCCUUGCACACACCGCCCGUCGUUUCAUCGAAGUUGGCCUUUAGUGAGGUAGUGUCUUGUUGGCAUUAUCGAGCUUGAGGUCAGUGACGAGGGAAAAGUCGUAACAAGGUA
rnacentral:rRNA from 1 species